GGUUAAUACCCUGAGUAGAUGACGGUACCAGCAUAAGAAGCACCGGCUAACUACGUGCCAGCAGCCGCGGUAAUACGUAGGGUGCGAGCGUUAAUCGGAAUUACUGGGCGUAAAGCGUGCGCAGGCGGUUUUGUAAGUCAGAUGUGAAAUCCCCGGGCUCAACCUGGGAACUGCAUUUGAGACUGCAAGGCUAGAGUGUGGCAGAGGGGGGUAGAAUUCCACGUGUAGCAGUGAAAUGCGUAGAGAUGUGGAGGAAUACCGAUGGCGAAGGCAGCCCCCUGGGUCACUACUGACGCUCAUGCACGAAAGCGUGGGGAGCAAACAGGAUUAGAUACCCUGGUAGUCCACGCCCUAAACGAUGUCAACUAGGUGUUGGGAGGGUUAAACCUUUUAGUGCCGUAGCUAACA
rnacentral:rRNA from 1 species